CCAACUAAUGAUCUCACAAGAUUAAUAAAAAAAAAUAAGAUGUAAGAAAGAGCAACUUUACGAUCUGUGAAUUCACGUAGACUCCUUUUGAGCAGGCAUUCCUCAAACCUCUUCAACAGGCUUAUACCAAAACCAAAAAAAAUGUAGGGCGCCUGGGUGGCUCAGUGGGUUAAGCCACUGCCUUCGGCUCAG